CGAGCCCAGCCGGUUUAUUAAUUUGAUGGAAACCCGGAGCUCAACUCCGGAAUUGCAUUGAAACUGGUUAACUUGAGUCCAGUAGAGGUAAGUGAACUCCAUGUGUAGCGGUGGAAUGCGUAGAUAUAUGGAAGAACACCAGUGGCGAAGGCGGCUUACUGGACUGCAACUGACGUUGAGGCUCGAAAGUGUGGGUAGCAACCAGGAUUAGAUACCCUGGUAGUCCACACCGUAACCGAUGACCACUAGGUGUUAGGAGGUUUCCGCCUCUUAGUCCCGAAGCUAACCCAUUAAGUGUUCCGCCUGGGGAGUACGACCGCAAGGUUGAACCUCAAAGGAAUUGACGGGGACCCGCACAAGCGGUGGAGCAUGUGGUUUAAUUCGAAGCAACGCGAAGACCCUUACCAGGUCUUGCCAUCCUUUGAAGCUUUUAGAGAUAGAAGUGUUUUCUUCGGAGACAAAGUGCCAGGUGGUGCAUGGUCGUCGUCAGCUCGUGUCGUGAGAUGUUGGGUUAAGUCCCGCAACGAGCGCAACCCUUAUUGUUAGUUGCCACCAUUCAGAUGGCCACUCUAGCGAGACUGCCGGUGCCAAACCGGAGGAAGGCGGGGACGACGUCAGAUCAUCAUGCCCCUUAUGCCCUGGGCUACCCACGUGCUCCAAUGGCGUAUACAACGAGUUGCCAGCCCGCGAGGGUGAGUUAAUCUCUUAAAGUACGUCUCAGUUCGGAUUGUAGUCUGCAACUCGACUCCAUGAAGUCGGAAUCGUUAGUAAUCGCGGAUCACCACGCCGCGGUGAAUACGUUCCCGGGUCUUGUCCCCACCGCCCGUCCCACCAUGGGAGUUUGUAAUGCCCAAAGCCGGUGGCCUAACCUUCGGGAAGGAGCCGUC
rnacentral:rRNA from 1 species